rnacentral:rRNA from 1 species
AACGCGAAGAACCUUACCAAGUCUUGACAUCCUGCUGACUGUUCCUUAGCCGGAACUUUCCUUCGGGACAGCAGUGACAGGUGGUGCAUGGUUGUCGUCAGCUCGUGUCGUGAGAUGUUGGGUUAAGUCCCGCAACGAGCGCAACCCUUGUCCUUAGUAGCCAGCGGUUCGGCCGGGCACUCUGGGGAGACUGCCGGAGAUAAUCCGGAGGAAGGUGGGGAUGACGUCAAAUCAUCAUGCCCCUUAUGAUUUGGGCUACACACGUGCUACAAUGGCGUAAACAAAGAGAAGCGAACCUGUGAGGGUGAGCAAAUCUCAAAAAUAACGUCUCAGUUCGGAUUGUAGUCUGCAACUCGACUACAUGAAGCUGGAAUCGCUAGUAAUCGCAGAUCAGAAUGCUGCGGUGAAUACGUUCCCGGGUCUUGUACACACCG